rnacentral:rRNA from 1 species
AAGCUCGUAGUUGAAUUUCGAGACCGGUUUACUGGUCGUGCUUUUGUACGUACUGGUAUUAUUGGUUUCUCCUUUCUGACGAAUCAUAAUGCCAUUAAUUUGGGUGUUUUUGGGGAAUCAGGACUGUUACUUUGAAAAAAUUAGAGUGUUUAAAGCAGGCUCACGCUUGAAUACAUUAGCAUGGAAUAACGAAAUAGGACGUUUGAUUUUAUUUUGUUGGUUUCUAGGAUCGACGUAAUGAUUAAUAGGGAUAGUUGGG